GAUGAACGCUGGCGGCGUGCCUAAUACAUGCAAGUCGAGCGAACGGACGAGAAGCUUGCUUCUCUGAUGUUAGCGGCGGACGGGUGAGUAACACGUGGAUAACCUACCUAUAAGACUGGGAUAACUUCGGGAAACCGGAGCUAAUACCGGAUGAUAUUUUGAACCGCAUGGUUCAAAAGUGAAAGACGGUCUUGCUGUCACUUAUAGAUGGAUCCGCGCUGCAUUAGCUAGUUGGUAAGGUAACGGCUUACCAAGGCAACGAUGCAUAGCCGACCUGAGAGGGUGAUAGGCCACACUGGAACUGAGAAACGGUCCAGACUCCUACGGGAGGCAGCAGUAGGGAAUCUUCCGCAAAGGGCGAAAGCCUGACGGAGCAACGCCGCGUGAGUGAUGAAGGUCUUCGGAUCGUAAAACUCUGUUAUUAGGGAAGAACAUAUGUGUAAGUAACUGUGCACAUCUUGACGGUACCUAAUCAGAAAGCCACGGCUAACUACGUG
rnacentral:rRNA from 1 species